GCCGGAGUAGCUCAGACGGCAGAGCAGCUCACUCGUAAUGAGCAGGUCAGGGGUUCGAGUCCCCUCUCCGGCU
rnacentral:tRNA from 1 species